rnacentral:rRNA from 1 species
CAGCCGCCGCGGGAAAACAGAGGGUGCGAGCGUUAAUCGGAUUUACUGGGCGUAAAGCGUGCGUAGGCGGCUUUUUAAGUCGGAUGUGAAAUCCCUGAGCUUAACUUAGGAAUUGCAUUCGAUACUGGGAAGCUAGAGUAUGGGAGAGGAUGGUAGAAUUCCAGGUGUAGAGGUGAAAUGCGUAGAGAUCUGGAGGAAUACCGAUGGCGAAGGCAGCCAUCUGGCCUAAUACUGACGCUGAGGUACGAAAGCAUGGGGAGCAAACAGGAUUAGAUACCCCUGUAGUCCCUGUCUCUUAUAC